rnacentral:rRNA from 1 species
AUACUUUUUACGUAUUUAAGUAGUAUUAGUUAAGUUCUUGAAAUUUAAAAGAUUUGGCGGUAUUUUAGUCUAUUCAGAGGAACCUGGUUUGUAAUCGAUAGUCCACGAUGGAUCUUACUUAAAUUUGUUUUAAUAGUUUAUAUGUCGUUGUUUAUAGAAUAUUUUUUAAAAAUAAUAAUUUUCUAAAAUUUUUAUUAAAAUUUAUGUCAGAUCAAGAUGUAGCUAAUAUUUAAGUUUAUAGUGGGUUACAGUGUUUAAUUUUUGGAUAUAAGUUUGUAAUUGAUUUAUUGAAAUUGGAUUUGAAAGUAAAAUUAUAGAGAUUAAUAGU